GAAAUUAGUUAAGUAGUGUUUGUGCCGAAUUGAAGAAAAAUGGCAACCGGGGUCCCAACACAAAGGGCCCCGGGAUAUUAAAUUGAAAGAUUAAAUUGAAAGACUAAAUUGGAAUAUUAAAUUGGGAGAUUAAA